UACGUAGGGUGCAAGCGUUGUCCGGAAUUAUUGGGCGUAAAGAGUUCGUAGGCGGUUUGUCGCGUCCGUUGUGAAAGCUUGGGGCUCAACCCCAAGUCUGCAGUGGAUACGGGCAGACUAGAGUCAGGUAGGGGAGAACGGAAUUCCUGGUGUAGCGGUGAAAUGCGCAGAUAUCAGGAAGAACACCAAUGGCGAAGGCAGCUCUCUGGGACGGUACUGACACUGAGACGCGAAAGCGUGGGGAGCGAACAGG
rnacentral:rRNA from 1 species